UGUGGACCCGACUUCAGAUAUGGUACAUCACAAUCAGAUUAGUUUGACAUCAUGAUUUCUUAUUAAUGGACACUCUUGGCUUGGAAAGCAAGGUUGCGUGCUAGGGGCCAUCGAACAAUCCCCACUUCAAUUGAUGAGCUUUUCCGUGUUG